UACGUAGGGUGCAAGCGUUAAUCGGAAUUACUGGGCGUAAAGCGUGCGCAGGCGGCUUUGCAAGACAGAUGUGAAAUCCCCGGGCUUAACCUGGGAACUGCAUUUGUGACUGCAUGGCUGGAGUGCGGCAGAGGGGGAUGGAAUUCCGCGUGUAGCAGUGAAAUGCGUAGAGAUGCGGAGGAACACCAGUGGCGAAAGCGACUUUCUGGUCCUUAACUGACGCUGAGGCGCGAAAGCAUGGGGAGCGAACGGG
rnacentral:rRNA from 1 species